rnacentral:rRNA from 1 species
GACGAACGCUGGCGGCGUGCCUAAUACAUGCAAGUCGAGCGGAGUUGUCCCUUCGGGGGCAGCUUAGCGGCGGACGGGUGAGUAACACGUAGGCAACCUGCCUGCAAGCUUGGGAUAACAUCCGGAAACGGAUGCUAAUACCGAAUACACAAUGAAGCUGCAUGGCUUCAUUGGGAAAGGCGGAGCAAUCUGCCGCUUGCAGAUGGGCCUGCGGCGCAUUAGCUAGUUGGUGAGGUAACGGCUCACCAAGGCGACGAUGCGUAGCCGACCUGAGAGGGUGAUCGGCCACACUGGGACUGAGACACGGCCCAGACACCUACGGGUGGCAG